AGCCCUUUGUCCCCGCUUUGUCUAAAAGACUCAGAAUUCAUCAAACCGGGAACCGAUAUCUCAGACAAGCCUUGCAGAGAGUGCAAUGGCCAUCCCCGGUUUCGUCAUUCAGGCGGGGCCACAGGAAAUUUGGCCUGGCAGCGAUGCUCUAGGGCUGACAGUGGGUUGCUGGGGGUGGGAGGAGGUUUUGGACGAUCUCGACCUUUAUUCGUUAAAGGUUUAUCAAUCCGGGACACGCGGACACUGAUGGAAGAGAGAACCAAACUUACAUCAGACACUCUGGACCGCCGGUUCCACCACUUGCUGGGAGCCUUAAAGACAUCAGAUCAAGGUGAUGAGAUGAAGGACGAGGAGUUGGAGCAAAUCACCCAUGACUCAGGGGGAAAGAAGAGUUGGGGAUGUCUUGUGGCUUGGACCCAGGCUUGAUGCAUGCUAUGCACAGCGUGUGCUGGACCCUGAGCUUCACCUCUAGCCCUUCAUUUCCUUUUUUCUCCUUUUUUUCUUUUUGACAGAAAAAAAGAAAAGAAAUAUAUCAGAAAAAUCUGGAACAUUAACCAAGAAAAAUAGUAAAAACUAAGCGGAUAGUAAUGAGCAAAGGUAUCCAAAGUCAGUUUGGGAAGGUCAGUUUAUUAGGAAUCACUCAUUUAUCCAACAAACACCAUCAUGGACUAUAUGCCUAGAGGUGUGCCCGGCAUCUUUUUUUUUUCAUUCACUGUCUCUUUAAUAACUGUUAAUAAAAGAGUUCCUUGCAAAUGGAAAGUGUGAUGU
rnacentral:lncRNA from 1 species